UAUUGUUAUCAAUAAGGUUUUGGAUUUGAACUCAUUAAGGUAGUAAUCUCUCUAUUUUCUUAUGAUAUUAUUCUUUGGUUUUGGUUCAUAUAAUUUAUUACUGUUUAUAUAUUUUAUUAUGGCUUAUACUGAACUUAUUGGUUUGAUUGUGGAGUGGUUGGGAUUAUGGUCUCUGGGUAAUCAGAUGGAUUAAAGCUUAAGAGUGAAUGUUGAUGGAAGGAAACAAGAACUAAUUGAUGCUUCUGAAGCAAGUGUGUUUUUUUCUGGUUUGCUGACACAAAGAAAGGUACAUCUUUACUGGUCUUUGUAUGCAACCAAAGGACUAAAUUCAGCUAGGAUAUGCGAUUUUGACUAUUAAGGAACUACACCAGCAUGAGUGAGUGAAAACAUUUUUUGCUCUUGACAUUCACCACCUUAUUUGUCUAGAUAGGAUGCAGGUCCACUCAUCAUUUGACAGAAUCAAUCAUGUUAAGGAUGCAAUCGUGCUCUCUAAUAUUGUUACAACGAUAUCACCAACAUAUGCACAAGCGUUGCGGACUUCACAGUUAGGGGUGUUUACCGGAUUUUCUUCGGGUUUCGGGUUUUC